GGGGAUGGAGCUCAGUGGCAGAGCAUUGCCUGGAAUGCACAUGGCCCUAGGUUCAAUCCCCAGCCCCA
rnacentral:tRNA from 1 species